AUGUGUGUGCCGGGAUGCAAGAGUACACUGCUCCUCCUCCAGGAUUCCUCUUCGGGGCAGAAAAUGGGCAUGUGCUUGUGGUCCAGUGAAGCCCAGCCUGAGCUCAGCUCUUGCACCUCUGCCCCGCUCUGCCUCCAGAUGUGGCCUCAGCGGCUUUUUCUCGUGUGGAUUGAAUUCAGCAUUAUGUCUUUGCACAGUGUCCUCUUCUAUUUUCUCCUCUCCGUUCUUCUUUGCUGUCCUCUCCUCAUUGUUCUUUCAGCUCAUCCGGCUAAUGAACCAGUACAAGUACAAAGUACAUUUUAUAAGAGAGAUAGCCAAAUAUUCACAGGGGACAUAAAACCCCACAUAACAACAGCACAGAUGGAGCAGAAGCACAUGACACACAGCCCCCGUUCAGAAAAAAACAAAAAAAAUAUGAUGAUUGUCUAUAUCAAACAGCCUCUUUUUCUACCUACUAUUACUGUCUCUUUUUGUCUUCUCUUGUCCACCUGUGUCCCAGCAGCAAUUAAGGACCCUGGUGGAUCCAAUCAAGGAAUCACACGAAUGGCUGAAUAUGGUGGACUUGUGAAAGAUCAGGGCAUUCAGGCUGGUGACAUUCCUCCUGGCGAGCAGAUCCAUCCUGGGCCGGGGGUGAAAAAUGCAGCACCGCGCUACUGCUCAGCUGCAGAUGAAUGGAGCUAUCUGUCUUGUCACGAGGGGUCGGCUGGAGAGGUUACAGCCCAACUGUACCUGGUCUCUGAUGCUGAUGCCUGCACGCCGCUUCCCUUUACAAGAGAAGAAACAUAAAAACAGAAGAGAGGGAGAGACAGAGAGAGGGAGAAACAAAUCCUGCCCCAUCAAGCACUUCUUCAGUCCCUCCAGAGCCCAUCUCACUUCCCAUCAUCCCGAAGUCCUGCUGCCCUGAGCGCAGGCUUUGACACAUCUAUAUGUUUUUCCUUCUGACCUUUCAACGUCCUUUCUGUCAGUGCCUGUAAACCAUAAGCUGAUGUAUGAGGGCAAUUUUUAGCGGUGCCACUUGUAUCUGAGUGAUUGCGCACACUUUACAUUUGGGGGGUCUGCCACCCUGCCACCUCCUCAACAUCUCUUUAUUUGCUUUGCUUGAUAUUGAGGCAGAGAAACUGAGGGGAAGGAAUAAAAAGAGUGGAUGGGGAGGGGACGGUGGAGCC
ensembl:lncRNA